rnacentral:rRNA from 1 species
CGGGGUGCACCAGGCGCGAAAACUUUACAAUGCGGGAAACCGUGAUAAGGGGACACCGAGUGCCAGCAUCAUAUGCUGGCUGUCCAGGUGUGUAAACUACACCUGUUAGCAAGGGCCGGGCAAGACCGGUGCCAGCCGCCGCGGUAACACCGGCGGCCCGAGUGGUGAUCGUGAUUAUUGGGUCUAAAGGGUCCGUAGCCGGUUUGGUCAGUCCUCCGGGAAAUCUGACGGCUCAACCGUUAGGCUUUCGGGGGAUACUGCCAGGCUUGGAACCGGGAGAGGUAAGAGGUACUACAGGGGUAGGAGUGAAAUCUUGUAAUCCCUGUGGGACCACCUGUGGCGAAGGCGUCUUACCAGAACGGGUUCGACGGUGAGGGACGAAAGCUGGGGGCACGAACCGGAUUAGAUACCCGGGUAGUCCCAGCCGUAAACGAUGCUCGCUAGGUGUCAGGCAUGGCGCGACCGUGUCUGGUGCCGCAGGGAAGCCGUGAAGCGAGCCACCUGGGAAGUACGGCCGCAAGGCUGAAACUUAAAGGAAUUGGCGGGGGAGCAAGGGCAA